AUGGGCAGCUCCAACACCACCAACCCGACGGUUUUCUCUGGCAUCGCGGCCGCCGACGACGUGAAGGAACCCUUCCGGCCGCUUAAGCCCGAGGACGUCCGAUCUUACAUUCACGAGGCUGUCGACUUCAUCUGCGACUACUACACCACCGUGGAGUCCAUGCCAGUUCUCCCCGACGUCAAGCCGGGGUACCUGCAGCACGAGUUCAUGGCGUCCCCGCCAACUUAUCCCGCACCGUUCCACGUCACCAUGAAGGAGCUCAAGGCCUCCAUCAUCCCUGGCAUGACGCACUGGGCCAGCCCAAACUUCUUCGCUUUCUUCCCCGCCACCAACAGCGCCGUCGCCAUCGCCGGAGACCUCAUCGCCUCCGCCAUGAAUACUGUCGGCUUCACGUGGCAGGCUGCCCCCGCAGCAACUGAGUUGGAGGUACUCGCGCUUAACUGGCUCGCGCAGCUCCUUCACCUGCCCGACACCUUCAUGAGCCACACGGCCACCGGCGACCGUGGGACCGGAGGCGCCGUCAUCCUCGGCACCACCAGCGAGGCAAUGCUGGUAACGCUCGUCGCCGCGCGUGACGCUGCGCUGCGUCGGAGCGGAUCUGUGAGAGUGUUUGGCAUGCCGGGUCUGGUUGUCUACGCCGGGGACCAGACCCACUCCACCUUCUUCAAGGCAUGCCGCCUUGCCGGCUUCGACCCCGCCAACAUCCGUUCGAUCCCCGCCGGCCCAGAGACCCAAUACGCACUGGACCCGGCGAAGCUGCUCGAGGCCAUGCAGGCUGACGUCGACGUCGGCCUCGUGCCAACGUACGUUUGCGCCACGGUGGGCACCACAUCUUCCAACGCUGUCGACCCAGUGGGGGCCGUCGCCGACAUUGCUGCAUCCUUUGGCGCGUGGGUCCACGUCGACGCCGCCUAUGCCGGCAGCGCCUGCAUCUGCCCGGAGUUCCGCCACCACCUCAACGGCGUCGAGCUCGUGGACUCCAUCAGCGUCAGUCCGCACAAGUGGCUUCUCACCUGCCUCGACUGCACCUGCCUCUAUGUCCGCGACGCCCACCGCCUAAGCGACUCCAUGGAGACAAACCCGGAGUACCUCAAGAACGACGCUACCGACUCCCACGAGGUCACUGAUCUCAAGGACAUGCAGAUCGGCUUGGGCCGACGAUUUCGUGGGCUCAAGCUGUGGAUGGUCAUGCGCACCUAUGGCACCGCCAAGCUUCAGGAGCACAUUCGCAGCGAUGUCAACAUGGCCAAGUUGUUCGAAGGUCUCGUCCGCACCGACCACCGGUUCGAGGUCGUCGUGCCUAGAAACUUUGCCAUGGUGUGCUUCAGGAUCAAGGCUCGUGGAGCCAUAACAGAGGAGGCCGCAGAUGAGGUCAAUCGUGUGCUGAUGAAGAAUCCGAACAAGACUGGCAAAGCCUACUUUGCGCACACUGUGCUCAGCGACAGGAUCUUGCUCCGGUUUGCGGUGGGGUCGUCGCUUCAAGAGGAGAGGCACGUGAGGAGUGCAUGGGAGCUCAUCAAGAGGACGACCAACGACUUGAUGAUGGAUUAA
rnacentral:rRNA from 1 species